rnacentral:rRNA from 1 species
GGGCCCGCACAAGCGGUGGAGCAUGUGGUUUAAUUCGACGCAACGCGCAGAACCUUACCAGCCCUUGACAUCCCGUGACCGGCCCAGAGAUGGGUUUUCCCCGCAAGGGGCACGGAGACAGGUGCUGCAUGGCUGUCGUCAGCUCGUGUCGUGAGAUGUUGGGUUAAGUCCCGCAACGAGCGCAACCCUUGCCUUCAGUUGCCAUCAUUUAGUUGGGCACUCUGGAGGGACUGCCGGCGGCAAGCCGGAGGAAGGUGGGGAUGACGUCAAGUCCUCAUGGCCCUUACGGGCUGGGCUACACACGUGCUACAAUGGUGGCGACAGAGGGCACAAGCGAGAGCGCGAGCUUUAGCAAAUCCUCAAAAGCCAUCUCAGUUCAGAUUGCGCUCUGCAACUCGGGCGCAUGAAGGUGGAAUCGCUAGUAAUCGCAGAACAGCAGGCUGCGGUGAAUACGUUCCCGGGCCUU